CAGCAGCCGCGGUAAUACGUAUGGAGCAAGCGUUAUCCGGAUUUACUGGGUGUAAAGGGAGCGCAGGCGGUGCGGCAAGUCUGAUGUGAAAGCCCGGGGCUCAACCCCGGUACUGCAUUGGAAACUGUCGUACUAGAGUGUCGGAGGGGUAAGCGGAAUUCCUAGUGUAGCGGUGAAAUGCGUAGAUAUUAGGAGGAACACCAGUGGCGAAGGCGGCUUACUGGACGAUAACUGACGCUGAGGCUCGAAAGCGUGGGGAGCAAACAGGAUUAGAUACCCUGGUAGUCCACGCCGUAAACGAUGAUUGCUAGGCGUAGGUGGGUAUGGACCCAUCGGUGCCGCAGCUAACGCAAUAAGCAAUCCACCUGGGGAGU
rnacentral:rRNA from 1 species